ACUACAUUACAUUACUUUACAUUACAUUUGGCAGACGCUUUUGUCCAAAGCGACUUACAAUAGUCAAGUACAAUGUAAAAUAAGUUUAAAGGAAAAACAUCUUUGGAUAGGGAUAAAAGGAGGACAAAGGGGAAUAAUAGGAUAGAGGAGUGAAGGAGGGGAAGAAGGAAAUGGGGUUAGAAGUAGUUAGUGUGUUAGAGGUGUUAGGAGAGUAAGUGCUCUUUGAAGAGCUCUGUCUUCAGGAGUUUAUUAAAGAUAGCGAGAGAUUCUCCUGAUCUGGUAGUAGAAGGUAGUUAGUUAGAGGUGUUAGGAGAGUAAGUGCUCUUUGAAGAGCUCUGUCUUCAGGAGUUUAUUAAAGAUAGUGAGAGAUUCUCCUGAUCUGGUAGUAGAAGGUAGUUAGUUAGAGGUGUUAGGAGAGUAAGUGCUCUUUGAAGAGCUCUGUCUUCAGGAGUUUAUUAAAGAUAGCGAGAGAUUCUCCUGAUCUGGUAGUAGAAGGUAGUUUGUUCCACCAUUGGGGAACUCUGUAUGAGAACAGUCUGGAUUGCUUUGUGUGAGUGUUUGGCAAAGCGAGGCGACGUUCACUGGAGGAGCGCAGCGGCCGGGAGGUAGCGUAAGCCUUCAGGAGCGAGUGCAGGUAGGAAGGAGCCUGUUCUGACAUCACCUUGUAGGCGAUUGUAAGAGUUUUGAAUUUGAUGCGAGCAUCAACUGGUAGCC